CCUACGGGACGCAGCAGUGGGGAAUAUUGCACAAUGGGCGCAAGCCUGAUGCAGCUAUGCCGCGUGUAUGAAGAAGGCCUUCGGGUUGUAAAGUACUUUCAGCGGGGAGGAAGGUGUUGUGGUUAAUAACCACAACAAUUGACGUUACCCGCAGAAGAAGCACCGGCUAACUCCGUGCCAGCAGCAGCGGUAAUACGGAGGGUGCAAGCGUUAAUCGGAAUUACUGGGCGUAAAGCGCACGCAGGCGGUCUGUCAAGUCGGAUGUGAAAUCCCCGGGCUCAACCUGGGAACUGCAUUCGAAACUGGCAGGCUAGAGUCUUGUAGAGGGGGGUAGAAUUCCAGGUGUAGCGGUGAAAUGCGUAGAGAUCUGGAGGAAUACCGGUGGCGAAGGCGGCCCCCUGGACAAGACUGACGCUCAGGUGCGAAAGCGUGGGGAGCAAACAGGAUUAGAUACCCUAGUAGUC
rnacentral:rRNA from 1 species